rnacentral:rRNA from 1 species
CCUACGGGGUGCUGCAGUGGGGAAUAUUGCACAAUGGGGGAAACCCUGAUGCAGCGACGCCGCGUGAAGGAAGAAGUUUUUCGGUAUGUAAACUUCUAUCAGCAGGGAAGAAAAGGACGGUACCUGACUAAGAAGCCCCGUCUAACUACGUGCCAGCAGCCGCGGGAAUACGUAGGGGGCAAGCGUUAUCCGGAUUUACUGGGUGUAAUGGGAGCGUAGGCGGUUUAGCAAGUCAGAAGUGAAAGCCCUGGGCUCAACUCCGGGACUGCUGUUGAAACUGUUGAACUAGAUUGCAGGAGAGGUAAGUGGAAUUCCUAGUGUAGCGGUGAAAUGCGUAGAUAUUAGGAGGAACACCAGUGGCGAAGGCGGCUUACUGGACUGUAAAUGACGCUGAGGCUCGAAAGCGUGGGGAGCAAACAGGAUUAGAUACCCCAGUAGUC